GUCGUUGGUCAGCAGAAACAAAUUCAACAGUGACUCCAGUUUCAACUUCAGGCUCAACUACAACCGGUCAACAGGACACACUGACUGAAGGCAAUCCUUCAAUUACGGAGCAGGGAUCAACUAUUACUUCAACAACAACGUCCAUAACAUCUACUGCAAGUCGAACUUUGGUAUCGACCAAACCACAACCAUCCAUAGAAACGAUCACAAAAGACUUUCCACCGAUUACCUCAACUUCUGAAACGGUUACUGCCGGUUUAACUUGGGUAACAACGACAUUAAGCCCGUCCUCAGAGACGGCCAUAAAAGGUUGAGUACAUAGCUCGAGAGAAGCCUCACCAACCAGAUUUUACUCCAGCUGUUGAUUAUGACAGAAAUGAAAGUGAGAGUUCACCCUUCCUAACAGAAAACCUCGAGCCUGGUACGAAGUACGAGUUCAAGAUGUCAGCCGAGAAUCAGUUGAAUAUUGGACCUGGAACAAUCUUGGAAGUUUACACCAAACCCCAGUCUGGUUUUUCUGCUCCUCCGAAACCUAUACCAUUCCCAGACGAUUCCACAGACACCACAGUCACUAUUGGUUUGUCUCCCGCUCUACCUGAUGAUUACUUCAUUGAAUCGUACGUUGUCCAAGUCAAAAAGGAAAGGUCUUCUUCCAGGACUAAGAAGGAGAUUCUUAUUCUCAGCGAUUUCGAGGUUGCUCCAAAGGACUAUAUUGCGGCUGAACUUCCCAAAUGGGGCGUGCCUGAUAGAUUUGUAGUGGGGGAUGCCAAGGUCUACGGCGGCUACUACAAUGCACCGCUCCAGAGGGGCGCCGUGUAUAACAUUCGUGUUGGAUCAGUCAGUAGGGGCAACGAGACGUCCACCAACCAACAGCCAGCUCAGGACCAAAUGUUGCCGCCAUUGCUGUGGGGGUUAUCGUUCCUGUCGUGGUCGUGAUAAGCAUUGUCGCAUUUCUCCUGUGGAAGAAACAUAAACUGGCUCACUCUAAAGUAGCAGGUACCGUCGAAACGGCACAAGGUGAUACUGAGGUGACGGCAGAAGCAACCAUGCAAGAAGCCGCCCAAUCGUUGGAAAGUUUGUCAAACUCUGGAGGACGGGAAUAUUGAAUUAGGUGUUUUCAGGCAUUGCUACCACUGGAAUAAUAUUCCAUUGCUGUCGUUGCCGGUUUAGUUUGAGUCUUUAGUGAUAAAUGCGCAAAUCAUUUUUGUAUGUUUUCUGGUUUAUUAAAUAUCAGUAUUGAUCUUGAUAACUAUAAAUGUUUCAAAUAUGAAGAACAUGCGUGCAUUUCUCUUUUCAUCUUAUAUACAACUUAAGUUUUGAAGCUUUUUUGUGUAUUACAUGCAGGUGUUUUGCAAUAUUUUGCAAUAGUAUAAUUGGUAAUUUCGGUUUGAUUUAACAGAUAAUCACUUAUCGUCAUCCGUGUGUCAAGUGUCAAACUCCUUUCUUGAAGGGUGAAAACCAAUGAACUCACUUUAUCUAAGUAAUCACGUAAGUUGGCGAUAGGAAAUGGGGACUUAUUAUAUCAAAUUUCAAAUUGCUACUUGGUACCCCAUAAAAACUUGCAUUCUGCUCUCUUAAAUAAGAUAAACUAUACGACUGCUCUUUAGAGUAUUUUUUCUACAUGUUUGCUAUUACCCCGGCUGAGGUUAAUGAACCAACGCUCCUCAGAGGUUCAAACAUCAACAGCUUUUACCCUGAGUUUCCAACCUCACCAAUUCCAGAAAAAAAUAUCCAUCUCAACAAUUUUAUAAAUGAA
rnacentral:misc_RNA from 1 species